UACGAAGGGGGCUAGCGUUGUUCGGAAUCACUGGGCGUAAAGCGCACGCAGGCGGAUCGAUAAGUCGGGGGUGAAAGACCGGGGCUCAACCUCGGAAUUUCCUUCGAUACUGUCGGUCUCGAGUCCGGGAGAGGUGAGUGGAAGUCCUAGUGUAGAGGUGAAAUUCGUAGAUAUUAGGAAGAACACCAGUGGCGAAGGCGGCUCACUGGCCCGGUACUGACGCUCAGGUGCGAAAGCGUGGGGAGCAAACAGG
rnacentral:rRNA from 1 species